rnacentral:lncRNA from 1 species
GCGUUUUUUUGGUGCGGAUAUCGCAGUUCCUCACGCGCCGUCAAAUCCCCUAUUGCUGUCGUUCACGUGCCGUCCGUCCCCUGCAGUCGCGAUGGCUUCAGGUGAGGUUCCGGUCACUCGCGAUGGCUUCAGGUGCGAUUCCGGGUUCCGGGAACUGGCGUGGUUCCAGCCUUCCAGGUCACGCCGGACAUCCGUCGGAUUUCAGGUGCCAUCCGCAGCCAGCUUCGCCGCACCUGAAAGCUGGCUACAUCUAAAUAUCACCGAUCAAAUAAGGUUAAAACCUCAGUGAACUUUAAUUAAGAAUUUUUGUAUUAAAAUUGAUUAAGGUUAAUAUAGGAAUUAGUGUUAAAACUGUUUAUGAAUUUCAGAUAUAUUGUUCAUUAAAUAACAGUUAAUGACUCAAGUUCAAGUGUUAAGAUAUAUUAUGUUAUUUGCUUUAGAAAUGUAAAUACAGCGUCGCGAAUUAGGAGGCUUGGGGGUAAUAAAAUAUAUAAUAAUUUUAAAUAUUUUAUUUUUAUAAGUAUUUUUAAUUUUGUUAAAAUUUUAAGGGUGAACUUUAAUUUUGUUUAUAAAUCUUAAUAUUGUUAAUAAUUAAUUUAUUACUAUUUAAUAUUUAUUUCAAUAUGUCAAUUAACAGUCCAGUCAAGGAUUUUAAAAUUUCGUUCUCUCCUGUUCCUCUGUUCUCUUUUCCUCUCCUUCGUCUCCUGUCUUCAUCCAUUCUUUUAUUUUUGUCUCCACUUAUUAAGAUUAUUAAGUAUUAAGUUUAAUUAAGUCUGUUUUAUUAAGUUUAGUUUAACUAAGUUAUUAUUGUGUAACAGGCCCAACUCGGAUGUUGGCCCAUUAGAAAUUAGGGUUAGUAUAAAUAUCAAGUUGUAAUAAACUAUUAAAUUAAUUUUUCCAAUAUUCAAAUUCCAAACCCUACUCUCGCGUCUCUCCCAAUCGUCUGUUCACCUCUCACCGCGACUCUUGGUCGCCGAACCCUAAAAACUAAAUGCUGCUCACGCUCCACUCCGGUCUCCUUCAAUCUUCAUGGUAUCAGAGCCUCGUGGAGUGCUGUGCUGCUGAUCUCACUGGAAAGCUUCCGAAACCUUCCUGGUUCAAGCCGUCCCGACUCUGUCAGAAUCCCGACACUUCCUCUUCAAAUACUAAGUCUGGUAUAUCUAAAGAACUCUAUUAGUUUUGUUUGUGAUAAUAAAUAUCUAGAUGUUAUGAGUGUCAUGCAUGUUGAUCAUCUUAGAUCCAAACGAUUUUUUAUUGCAUGUCUUUGCACAACAUCACUCCUGUCACUGUUGUCUUUGAUAUCUCAUUAUCAUUUUGAAAACAAUACUAUACACGAAAUCAUAAGCAGAUAUUUCAGAUCUAUAUUGUUAUGUGUUGCAUGUCUUCACACAUUACUUCUUAUGCCAUUACUAAAUAUAAAACCUCAUAUAAAAAUGAAAAACACUAAUAUGUGCAUGUCUCAGAUCAUGCUAUAUUUAUGUAAAUGUGAACCAAUGCAUAUAAAUCACUGCUAUUUGCUGACCAUCAACAGUAAAUACACAUACUCUUCAUGUAGAAUACUAUUUGGUAGACUAGUUCAUAUUAACAUGAUAUCUGUACAUCAUACACUUGACUGGUAUCUUAUACAUGCAUUUACACACAAUGUGUCCAGUAAAAUACACUCAGUAUCACACCAUAAUUUAAUGAUGUGCUUCAUGUCAAAUAAUACAUUUCAUAGUAAAUACUUACUCUGUUAUAUGAUACACUAUACUAGAUACAUGUUAAUCAAAAUAAAUGUUUAUCUUAUAAUAUUUCCGCUGCUACUCAGAUACUCUAAUAAAAUCAAAAGUGGAUUGCUAACCACUGACCAAAUCAAAUCACCUAAUCUAAAUUAUGAUUUACUAUCUAUGAUUCAUUCAAGAUCAGUAAACAUCGAAUUAAUAUUAUCUUAUGAUCAUGAAAAAUGUUACAGAGUCUUCUACAUGUCAGGAACUGAGAAUGUUCAACAGGAUGUCCCAUCUGGCCAGGUUGUUCAAACAACACAAAAGAAGCCACUUGGUGGCCCCCUGUUUAAUCCAACUUCCAUUUAUUUCUUCAAAUCCACAGAUUAUGGUCCCCCAACCAUAAUAAAUAUCCUACAGGGCAGUCAGAAUUAUUAUCCCUGGAAUAGGGAAAUGACUACAAUGCUAAUCACUAGAAGAAAGCUGGGAUUUGUCAAUGGAGCUAUAAAGGAACCAUCUCUGAAUGAAGUAGAAGAGCAUGAGGCCUGGAUAACAUGUCAUGGGAUUAUAAGGCAAUGGAUAUGGAGCUCUGUCUCACAGGAGAUAGCCUCCCAAAUCAUGUACACUGAUGAUGCCUCUAUAAUAUGGGCUGAUCUAAGGGAUCAGUACAGACAGUCCAAUGAAACUCAUCUGUUUCAGUUAACACAGGAUAUUGUUCUACUCCAACAGGGUUCAAACUCUGUUUCAAAAUUCAGUGCUACCCUUAAGACUAUGUGGAGAGAAGUUGAUGCCUAUGGUGAGGUACCCAGGUGUAGUUGCAUCACAUGCACCUACAAUGUGAAUGGGAGAAUCAAUGAAAGAGAAGAGAGGCUAAAGGUGAGGAAAUUCUUGAUGGGCCUGAAUGAUAAUUUUAGGCAGAUAAGGUCAACCAUCCUAUCUAUGGAUAAGCUUCCCAUCUUUGGGAAGGUAUUCUCAAUGGUUAUUUAUGAAGAGGCCCAACAACAAUUGAUCAACAAUACCAAUACCACUCAAGGCUCUGUCUUCUACUCAUCUAAGGGAAAGACACCCUAUCAGACAACCAAGCCCACAAAUACUCCAUCCUCUUCAACACAAAGAAAAAGGCCUCCUACCCCAACUGAACCCAUUUACUAUAGGAGUGGCAAGCAAGUAAACACAAGGUAUUACUGCUUUCACUGUGCUGCAUUUGGGCACAGUGAUGAAAAAUGUUUUAACCAGCAUGGAUACCCUUCCAGGAACACUACAUCUGCCACUAGGGCCAAGCCCACUACUCCAACAGCUACUGUGAUCAACAAGCCACAAGGCUCUGCCAAUUGUGUAAAUUCUGAACAAACCUGGUCAGUUUGGGACAGUGAUGAGAAGAAGCCAGAAUCUCCUGAUAAUCCUAUUGGUCCAUAUGGCUUCCCCCUCUACUCUGAAAAGUAUAAUCCAAAGCCCCUGCCCAAGCACAACUCAGGUAAUGCUAAUAAUGUUUUUUUAAAUUAUUCAAAUACAUACUGGAUCAUUGACUCAGGUGCAUCAGAACACCUGAGUGGGAAUGAAUCCUUAUUUCUAAAACUCACAAAGUGUGAUCCAUUCAAGAUCUCACUGCCAAAUGGGGACAGCCAAACAGUGUCCCAAAAGGGUGAUAUUUCCAUCUCACCUGACAUCACAUUGGAGGAUGUAUAUUAUAUCCCAUCCUUUCAAGUAAACUUGCUAUCCAUUAGCAAGUUAACACAACAUGAUACUUAUUCAGUACAAUUCUCUAAAUCAUGUGCAUUCAUAUAUGACAAGGUUCAGAUGAAAGAAGUUGGUCAGAGUAAAAUGAAGAAAGGACUGUACUGUCUGCCACAAACCAGUGGUGGAAAUCAUUUUGCAGGUGCCAUAACAACAUCAACAUGACACAAAAGAUUGGGUCACACUUCCAGUGAUAGACUCAAACACAUUUUAAACAAUCUUACUUUAGACUUUAAAAAUAUUACUUUUGAUAAAUACUGUGAUACAUGUCAUUUUUCUAAACAACCUAGGAAGUCAUUUUCAUUACAUGCAUCUAGAACUAAACAUGCAUUUGAUCUACUUCACAUGGAUGUGGGGGGGAACUUUCACACUCCAACAGUCCAUGGGAAGAAAUAUUUUUUUACUGUGGUUGAUGACUAUACUAGAUAUACUUGGACUUAUUUAAUUGCUAUGAAGUCUGAAUGUUUUACUAUUUUUAAAAAUCUGUAUGCCCUUAUCAAAAACCACUUUGACAUAUCUGUCAAAGCCAUAAGGACUGAUAAUGGUGGAGAGUUCUUCUCUUCAACCAUGGAUCGAUGAAUUCCUAAAAACAAAUGGAAUCAUCCACUACUCUAGUUGCCCCCAUACACCACAGCAAAAUGGUGUGGUUGAGAGGAAACAUCAACACCUCCUAAAUGUAGCUAGAUCACUGAAGUUACAAUCCACACUACCAAUUGAGUUGUGGGGAUAUUCAAUACUUCAGGCAACCAAAAUCAUCAAUAUGUUACCAUCCAAGGUAACACAGAACAUAUCCCCAUAUGAACUUAUGCACUCUAGGAAGCCUGACUAUGAAGGUCUAAGGACCUUUGGCUGCCUAUGCUAUGUAACUUGUCUUGUUAAAAAAGACAAGUUCUCCCCCAGAGCAAAAAGUGCAUAUAUCUAGGUUCAUCCCCAACCCAAAAGGGUUCAAUAGUAUAUGAAUUAGAUACUCACCACAUCUCUACAAGUAGAGAUGUGACCUUUUAUGAGGAUGUGUUCCCUCUAAAUAAGGAUCAGGAUAAAACAAACAAUCAAAUGGUAACGAAAAAUCAAAUCAAAAAUCCAACAACUAACAUUGAUCUCUCUGAGAUAAACCAAAUUGAGUCUAUCUCUGAUGAUUCAGACACAAAUUCAACUACAUCAAACUCUGAACUCUCAGAGGUAACACAAACAAACCAAACAUGUGAUCAAUAGUACCUCUAAAUCCAGAAGCUAAACAAAUACCAAAUCAAACUUCAGAUGAUUCACAAUCAUAUUUAAGAUACCCAAGCAGACAGAGAAGACCUCCAACAAAAUUAAAUGACUAUUUCUGUUCAUUUGCCACAAGCAAGGGUAAAUCUAAAGGCACCUCAUACCCUAUGCAUGAUUGCCUAACAUAUAAAAGGCUAUCCACUUCUCACACGGACUAUUUAGACAAAAUCUCUAUUACAACUGAACCAUCAUCCUUUAAACAAGCUAGUCAAAGCCCUGAAUGGGUGAAAACAAUGAAUGAUGAACUUGCAGCUCUAGAACUAAAUGAUACUUGGUAAAUAGUACCUAGACCAAAAGAGAGAAAGAUAGUUGGCUCCAGAUGGGUAUACAAAGUGAAACACAAAUCCAAUGGCCAAAUUGAGAGGCUAAAGGCCAGGCUUGUGGCAAGGGGGCACACUCAGAUAGAAGAGUUUGAUUACAAAGAGACAUUCUCACCUGUGGCAAAGAUCAUCUCUGUCAGGACCCUCCCAGCAGUGGCCUCAAUCAAGAGCUGGACAACAUAUCAAAUGGAUGUGAGCAAUGCUUUCCUACAUGGUGAAUUAUCUGAAGAAAUCUACAUGUCUCCUCCUCCAGGGAUGUUACCAGCAGAUGACACCAGGGUUUGCAAACUAAAAAAAUCUAAAUAUGGCUUGAAACAAACAAAUAGGAACUGGUAUGAAAAGCUCACAUCUGCCCUGACCAAAUUUGGGUAUAAUCAAUCUCACUCUGAUUAUACACUAUUUUUUAAAUCAAAUGUGAAAUCAUACACUUGCCUGCUCAUAUAUGUGGAUGACUUGAUUAUUUCAGGAGAUGAUGAAUCUGAGAUACAAAAAUUAAAAGAGUAUCUACACCUCCAAUUCCAUAUAAAAGAUUUGGGCAAGCUCAAAUAUUUUUUAGGAAUUGAGGUAUCUCAAUCUAAUAUGGGCAUAUUCCUAUCUCAAAGAAAGUAUGUUCUUGACAUUCUACAUGAUUUUGGACAAUUGGGCUCAUCACCAUCCAAAAUUCCAAUGUCUCAUAAUAAUAAAAACUCUGAAAAUGAUACUCUACUGAAAGAUCCAUCAACCUAUAGAAAGCUGAUUGGAAAAUUGUUAUAUUUAACAAUCACAAGACCAGAUAUCUCAUUUGCUGUUAGUCACCACAGUCAAUUCUUGGCAGAACCAAAACAAUCGCACUUCAAUUCUGCCAUAAAAAUACUGAAAUAUAUCAAAGGCACACCAGGCAAAGGCAUUCUAUACAAAAGAGAUGCACCUCUACAACUAGAGGCCUACUGUGAUGCAGACUGGGCAGAUUGUCCUAAUACCAGAAGAUCCAUAACAGGAUACACAAUCUUUUUAGGUGGCUCAGCCAUAGCAUGGAAAUCAAAGAAGCAAACAACUAUUAGCAGAUCAUCUGCUGAAAGUGAAUAUAGAGCUAUGGCAUCAACUGUAUGUGAAAUAAUGUGGCUACACUAUUUUUUGAAUGACUUGCAGGUAAAACCAUCAGAAAAAACAAUAUUACACUGUGACAACAUGGCUGCAAUCCAUAUUGCAACAAAUCCAGUGUUUCAUGAGCGAACUAAACACAUAGAGAUUGACUGCCACUUAAUUCGUGAUCAUCUUCAAGCUGGAUUAUUCAAACUACAACAUGUCUCUACAACAUCACAAGUAGCAGACAUCCUAACAAAACCAGCAAACCUGGAAUCAUUACGCAACUUACUACCCAAGCUGGGACUCUAUGAUAUACACUCUCCAGCUUGAGGGGGGGUAUUAAGUUUAAUUAAGUCUAUUUUAUUAAGUUUAGUUUAACUAAGUUAUUAUUGUGUAACAGGCCCAAUUCGGAUGUUGGCCCAUUAGAAAUUAGGGUUAGUAUAAAUAUCAAGUUGUAAUAAACUAUUAAAUUAAUUUUUCCAAUAUUCAAAUUCCAAACCCUACUCUCACGUCUCUCCCAAUCGUCUGCUCACCUCUCACCGCGACUCUUGGUCGCCGAACCCUAAAAACUAAACGUUGCUCACGCUCCACUCCGGU